GAAGAUGCUUUCAUGAUCUACACAUCUGUCAUUGCUGUUGCUUAUCACCGUUCCUGGGAAUCUGGCACUUCAUCAGCCGUCUUUCUUUCCAUGUAAUGAACACUGUUCUCCCUGACUCAGGUGUCAUCACCAUGAGAAGGACAUACCACCCCAGAAUAAGGAGAGGCAAAUGGAUUAGACUUGAAAUGAACCCAGAGCCUGGAUUCAAGCACAGCCAAACCCAGCUUGGAUCUCAUAAUUCCCAGUCCUGUGCAGAAGAACCGUGAGACCUACAAUAUAUUUCCAUACCUUCUUUCAAGAAAUAA
rnacentral:lncRNA from 1 species